AGUGUAACCAAGUCUACCACACCCCAGCUGGAGGGCCCAGGAAGAUGUGCUACCUGUGGCUUCAGGUAGCCCCUGGCACACAGCCCUGCGUCCCUGGGGUGUGUUUAUUCAGUUUCAAACGCAGGGAUGGUUUUCUGCCCUUCCUCUCCUCCGGCUGAAGGAGCAGGGAAUAAACAGCCAGAACAUCCAGGCACCCCUUCUCCUCCCUGCUUGCUACUUCCUUCCCCAGUCCCCACCUCUCCCACGUCCUGAGGAAGAACAAAGCAGCAGAUGGGCGAAAUGAAACAGGACCAGGCCGAGCGGUUUCACAACAGCACCCAGCUCCCAGCGGUGGCCGAGGCGGCCUGCUGACGCCGAGAGCUGGCCAGCGCCCUAGGGAGCAGAGGACAUUUGGAGGAAGAUACUACAUUUUCUUUUCAACUUCUGAGAAAACAGAGUCUCCACGAGGCACGUGGUCUGGUCUGCAGAGUGAGAUUUCUCUCCCUGUGCACUGUGGCAAUGCAUUCACCACAAACCCCUCAACAGAGGCUGACAUUCUUAUAAGAAGUUAAAAACGAAAUGCAAUUCUAAUCCUUAGGAGAGUCAUCUUUUUGUCUGUGUUUUUCCUUGCUUGUCUCUAGGUCUCUGCCAAUUUAGAGUCAGAGACAAU
rnacentral:lncRNA from 1 species